GACGAACGCUGGCGGCGUGCUUAACACAUGCAAGUCGAACGGAAAGGCCCUGCUUUUGUGGCGUGCUCGAGUGGCGAACGGGUGAGUAACACGUGAGUAACCUGCCCUUGACUUUGGGAUAACUUCAGGAAACUGGGGCUAAUACCGGAUAGGAGCUCCUGCUGCAUGGUGGGGGUUGGAAAGUUUCGGCGGUUGGGGAUGGACUCGCGGCUUAUCAGCUUGUUGGUGGGGUAGUGGCUUACCAAGGCUUUGACGGGUAGCCGGCCUGAGAGGGUGACCGGCCACAUUGGGACUGAGAUACGGCCCAGACUCCUACGGGAGGCAGCAGUGGAGAAUAUUGCACAAUGGGCGGAAGCCUGAUGCAGCAACGCCGCGUGCGGGAUGACGGCCUUCGGGUUGUAAACCGCUUUCGCCUGUGACGAAGCGUGAGUGACGGUAAUGGGUAAAGAAGCACCGGCUAACUACGUG
rnacentral:rRNA from 1 species